UACGUAGGGUGCGAGCGUUAAUCGGAAUUACUGGGCGUAAAGCGUGCGCAGGCGGUCUGUUAAGACCGAUGUGAAAUCCCUGGGCUCAACCCAGGAACUGCACUCGAAAACUGCCUUUCUUGAGUGCCGGAGAGGAAAGCGGAAUACCUGGUGUAGAGGUGAAAUUCGUAGAUAUCAGGUGGAACACCAGUGGCGAAGGCGGCUUUCUGGACGGUAACUGACGCUGAGACGCGAAAGCGUGGGGAGCAAACAGG
rnacentral:rRNA from 1 species